rnacentral:rRNA from 1 species
AUUGAACGCUGGCGGCAGGCCUAACACAUGCAAGUCGAACGAGUGGCGGACGGGUGAGUAAUGUCUGGGAAACUGCCUGAUGGAGGGGGAUAACUACUGGAAACGGUAGCUACUACCGCAUACCAUCGGAUGUGCCCAGCUGGGAUUGGCUUGUUGGGGGGGUAACGGCUCACCAAGGCGACGCUCCCUAGCUGGUCUGAGAGGAUGACCAGCCACACUGGGACUGAGACACGGCCCAGACUCCUACGGGAGGCAGCAGUGGGGGAUAUUGCACAAUGGGCGAAAGCCUGAUGCAGCGACGCCGCGUGGGGGAUGAAGGCUUUCGGGUUGUAAACCUCUUUCGCUAUCGAACGGGUAGGUGGAGAAGAAGCGCCGGCUAACUACGUGCCAGCAGCCGCGGUAAUUC